UCAAGAAACUUCCACAAUGGGCGAAAGCCUGAUGGAGCGACGUCGCGUGAUGGACGAAGUGCUUCGGCACGUAAACAUCUUUUAUGUGGGAUGAAAUUAUUGACAGUACCACAUGAAUAAGGGGCUCCUAACUCUGUGCCAGCAGGAGCGGUAAUACAGAGGCCCCAAGCGUUAUCCGGAAUCACUGGGCGUAAAGGGUGUCGAGGCGGUUGUAUUAGUCGUUCGUAAAAUCUACGAGCUUAACUUGUAGGCGGCGAACGAAACGGUACGACUUGAGGUUUGGAGAGGUGCGUGGAACUCACGGUGUAGGGGUGAAAUCCGUUGAUAUCGCGGGGAACACCAAAGGCGAAGGCAGCGCACUGGCCAAAAUCUGACGCUCACACACGAAAGCUAGGGUAGCGAAGAGGAUUAGAUACCCCUGUAGUCCCUGAGCGGGCUGGCAAGGCGCAU
rnacentral:rRNA from 1 species